rnacentral:rRNA from 1 species
CCUACGGGAGGCUGCAGUGGGGAAUAUUGGACAAUGGGGGGAACCCUGAUCCAGCGACGCCGCGUGAGUGAAGAAGUAUUUCGGUAUGUAAAGCUCUAUCAGCAGGGAAGAAAAUGCCGGUACCUGACUAAGAAGCCCCGGCUAACUACGUGCCAGCAGCCGCGGUAAUACGUAGGGGGCAAGCGUUAUCCGGAUUUACUGGGCGUAAUGGGAGCGUAGACGGUGCAGCAAGUCUGAUGUGAAAGGUCGGGGCCCAACCCCGGGACUGCAUUGGAAACUGUUGAACUGGAGUACAGGAGAGGUAUGCGGAAUGCCUAGUGUAGCGGUGAAAUGCAUAGAUAUUAGGCGGAACACCAGUGGCGAAGGCGGCUUACUGGACUGUAACUGACGUUGAGGCUCGAAAGCGUGGGGAGCGAACAGGAUUAGAUACCCGGGUAGUC